rnacentral:rRNA from 1 species
UACGUAGGGUGCGAGCGUUGUCCGGAAUUAUUGGGCGUAAAGAGCUCGUAGGCGGUUUGUCGCGUCGGCCGUGAAAACUUGGGGCUUAACCCCAAGCCUGCGGUCGAUACGGGCAGACUAGAGUGCGGUAGGGGAGAUUGGAAUUCCUGGUGUAGCGGUGGAAUGCGCAGAUAUCAGGAGGAACACCAAUGGCGAAGGCAGCAUCCUGGACCGAUAUUGACGCUGAGGCGCGAAAGCCAGGGGAGCAAACGGG